UGGGGAAUAUUGCGCAAUGGGGGAAACCCUGACGCAGCAACGCCGCGUGGAGGAAGAAGGUCUUCGGAUUGUAAACUCCUGUCUUCUGGGACGAAUAAUGACGGUACCAGAGGAGGAAGCCACGGCUAACUACGUGCCAGCAGCCGCGGUAAUACGUAGGUGGCGAGCGUUGUCCGGAAUUACUGGGCGUAAAGGGCGCGUAGGCGGCUUUUUAAGUCAGAUGUGAAAACCCGAGGCUUAACUUCGGGACUGCAUUUGAAACUGGAGGGCUUGAGUGCAGGAGAGGUAAGUGGAAUUCCUAGUGUAGCGGUGAAAUGCGUAGAUAUUAGGAGGAACACCAGUGGCGAAGGCGACUUACUGGACUGUAACUGACGCUGAGGCGCGAAAGCGUGGGGAGCAAACAGGACUAGAUACCCUGGUAGUCCACGCUGUAAACGAUGGAUACUAGGUGUGGGAGGUAUCGACCCCUUCCGUGCCGCAGUAAACGCAAUAAGUAUCCCGCCUGGGGAGUACGGCCGCAAGGUUG
rnacentral:rRNA from 1 species